GUAGGUGGCAAGCGUUGUCCGGAAUUAUUGGGCGUAAAGCGCGCGCAGGCGGUCCUUUAAGUCUGAUGUGAAAGCCCACGGCUCAACCGUGGAGGGUCAUUGGAGACUGGGGGACUUGAGUACAGAAGAGGAAAGCGGAAUUCCAAGUGUAGCGGUGAAAUGCGUAGAGAUUGGAGGAACACCAGUGGCGAAGGCGGCUUUCUGGUCUGUAACUGACGCUGAGGCGCGAAAGCGUGGGGAGCAAACAGGGAUUAGAUACCCUGGUAGUCCACGCCGUAAACGAUGAGUGCUAAGUGUUAGGGGGUUUCCGCCCCUUAGUGCUGCAGCUAACGCAUUAAGCACUCCGCCUGGGGAGUACGGCCGCAAGGCUG
rnacentral:rRNA from 1 species